rnacentral:lncRNA from 10 species
AGAUGCCUGGUAUCCAACUGCACUUCUCCAUGUGUGCAUUGUCCCCUGAGCUGGCAAGAAGAUCCUACUAGUUGGUCUGCAUGCCAUGCCAGCUCGGCCUUGCACCCUGGGGGCCCAGCUGUUGUCCACACCAAGGGUGGCCUACAGAGGGAAGUGAGGACCUUGGGACUUCCUCCAGGACAGCCCUCGCUGUCCAAAUCUCCACCUGCUGCAGAGCUGCCUCCAGUCAAGCCCUUGUUUCCAGCUUUCUGUGCCCUAAAUAAACUUCUGCUGGGAUUGAGCCAUCAGCAUUCUGUGGUGGGCGUCGCUGCUGCGAGGUUGCCCUCGUGCACACAAGCUCCUCACA